GAUGAACGCUGGCGGCGUGCCUAAUACAUGCAAGUCGAGCGAACGGACGAGAAGCUUGCUUCUCUGAUGUUAGCGGCGGACGGGUGAGUAACACGUGGAUAACCUACCUAUAAGACUGGGAUAACUUCGGGAAACCGGAGCUAAUACCGGAUAAUAUUUUGAACCGCAUGGUUCAAAAGUGAAAGACGGUCUUGCUGUCACUUAUAGAUGGAUCCGCGCUGCAUUAGCUAGUUGGUAAGGUAACGGCUUACCAAGGCAACGAUGCAUAGCCGACCUGAGAGGGUGAUCGGCCACACUGGAACUGAGACACGGUCCAGACUCCUACGGGAGGCAGCAGUAGGGAAUCUUCCGCAAUGGGCGAAAGCCUGACGGAGCAACGCCGCGUGAGUGAUGAAGGUCUUCGGAUCGUAAAACUCUGUUAUUAGGGAAGAACAUAUGUGUAAGUAACUGUGCACAUCUUGACGGUACCUAAUCAGAAAGCCACGGCUAACUACGUGCCAGCAGCCGCGGUAAUACGUAGGUGGCAAGCGUUAUCCGGAAUUAUUGGGCGUAAAGCGCGCGUAGGCGGUUUUUUAAGUCUGAUGUGAAAGCCCACGGCUCAACCGUGGAGGGUCAUUGGAAACUGGAAAACUUGAGUGCAGAAGAGGAAAGUGGAAUUCCAUGUGUAGCGGUGAAAUGCGCAGAGAUAUGGAGGAACACCAGUGGCGAAGGCGACUUUCUGGUCUGUAACUGACGCUGAUGUGCGAAAGCGUGGGGAUCAAACAGGGUUAGAUACCCUGGUAGUCCACGCCGUAAACGAUGAGUGCUAAGUGUUAGGGGGUUUCCGCCCCUUAGUGCUGCAGCUAACGCAUUAAGCACUCCGCCUGGGGAGUACGACCGCAAGGUUGAAACUCAAAGGAAUUGACGGGGACCCGCACAAGCGGUGGAGCAUGUGGUUUAAUUCGAAGCAACGCGAAGAACCUUACCAAAUCUUGACAUCCUUUGACAACUCUAGAGAUAGAGCUUUCCCCUUCGGGGGACAAAGUGACAGGUGGUGCAUGGUUGUCGUCAGCUCGUGUCGUGAGAUGUUGGGUUAAGUCCCGCAACGAGCGCAACCCUUAAGCUUAGUUGCCAUCAUUAAGUUGGGCACUCUAAGUUGACUGCCGGUGACAAACCGGAGGAAGGUGGGGAUGACGUCAAAUCAUCAUGCCCCUUAUGAUUUGGGCUACACACGUGCUACAAUGGACAAUACAAAGGGCAGCGAAACCGCGAGGUCAAGCAAAUCCCAUAAAGUUGUUCUCAGUUCGGAUUGUAGUCUGCAACUCGACUACAUGAAGCUGGAAUCGCUAGUAAUCGUAGAUCAGCAUGCUACGGUGAAUACGUUCCCGGGUCU
rnacentral:rRNA from 1 species